rnacentral:rRNA from 1 species
UACAGAGGGUGCAAGCGUUAAUCGGAUUUACUGGGCGUAAAGCGUGCGUAGGCGGUUCGCUAAGUCGGUUGUGAAAUCCCUGGGCUUAACCUGGGGACUGCAGUCGAUACUGGCGGACUAGAGUACGGUAGAGGGUGGCGGAACUCCGGGUGUAGCGGUGAAAUGCGUAGAUAUCUGGAGGAACACCGGUGGCGAAGGCGGCAUCCUGGACCGGCAUUGACGCUGAGGCGCGAAAGCCAGGGGAGCAAACGGG